rnacentral:rRNA from 1 species
GUGGGGAAUAUUGGACAAUGGGCGCAAGCCUGAUCCAGCCAUGCCGCGUGAGUGAUGAAGGCCUUAGGGUUGUAAAGCUCUUUCAGUGGGGACGAUAAUGACGGUACCCACAGAAGAAGCCCCGGCUAACUUCGUGCCAGCAGCCGCGGUAAUACGAAGGGGGCUAGCGUUGUUCGGAUUUACUGGGCGUAAAGCGCACGUAGGCGGAUCGUUAAGUCGGGGGUGAAAUCCUGGAGCUCAACUCCAGAACUGCCUUCGAUACUGGCGAUCUUGAGUCCGGAAGAGGUGAGUGGAACUCCUAGUGUAGAGGUGGAAUUCGUGGAUAUUAGGAAGAACACCAGUGGCGAAGGCGGCUCACUGGUCCGGUACUGACGCUGAGGUGCGAAAGCGUGGGGAGCAAACAGGAUUAGAAACCCCAGUAGUCC